AUUGAACGCUGGCGGCAUGCUUUACACAUGCAAGUCGAACGGUAACAGGCCUUCUGGUGCUGACGAGUGGCGCACGGGGGCGUAAUACAUCUGAACGUACCCAGAGUAGGGGGGGAACGCAGCGAAAGCUGUGCUAAUACCCCGUGUGAUCUGAGAGUGAAAGCGGGGGGCCGAGCAGGAAUGUUUGGCCUCGCGCCUUUGUAGCGGCCGAUGUCGGAUUAGCUAGUUGGUGGGGUAAAGGCCUACCAAGGCGACGAUCCGUAGCUGGUCUGAGAGGACGACCAGCCACACUGGGACUGAGACACGGCCCAGACUCCUACGGGAGGCAGCAGUGGGGAAUUUUGGACAAUGGGCGCAAGCCUGAUCCAGCAAUGCCGCGUGCGUGAAGAAGGUCUUCGGGUUGUAAAGCGCUUUUGGCAGGAACGAAACGGUGUCCGCUAAUACCGGGCGCUAAUGACGGUACCUGCAGAAUAAGCACCGGCUAACUACGUG
rnacentral:rRNA from 1 species